rfam:Populus trichocarpa scaffold_19_contig_249, whole genome shotgun sequence.
UCUAGAACUCGAGAUAUGGGCUGCAGGACAGAUUAUGACUUCUCCGUUGUUACUAAGAUUUGGACUUCCAAACAACAGCAUUGAGUCUUGCACUCCCAUGAAUGUUUUAGGCCUAUGUCUUAGCGUUCUAGC